rnacentral:lncRNA from 1 species
UAGAGACGCUGAAAGGAGGGGUGAUUCCUCGCACUUGGAACGCCACACACCUGAAGUUGUACUAUAGUUAAGAUCUUUGUAAGUAAAGACAAACACAAAGUUAUAUUACAAUGUCUCUGAUGAAACAGUUUGAAGGGGGCACUCUUUUUUCCCUAAGGAGGGUUUUUAAUGAGGCCACCCAAUAAAAGAAGAGUUUUCGAAGUAUAAGGCGUUUUCUGGUUGCAUGUUUGCU